rnacentral:rRNA from 1 species
CCUACGGGUGGCAGCAGUGAGGAAUAUUGGUCAAUGGCCGUAAGGCUGAACCAGCCAAGUAGCGUGAGGGAAGAAUGCCCUAUGGGUUGUAAACCUCUUUUAUGCGGGGAUAAAGCUGUCCACGUGUGGAUGUUUGCAGGUACCGCAUGAAUAAGGACCGGCUAAUUCCGUGCCAGCAGCCGCGGUAAUACGGAAGGUCCGGGCGUUAUCCGGAUUUAUUGGGUUUAAAGGGAGCGUAGAUGGGUUGUUAAUUCAGUUGGGAAAGUUUGCGGCUCAACCGGAAAAUUGCAAUUGAAACUGGCAGUGUUGAGUACAGAUGAGUGAGGCGGAAGUCGUGGUGUAGCGGUGAAAUGCUUAGAUAUCACGAAGAACGCCGAUUGCGAAGGCAGCUUACUAAGCUGCCACUGACAUUGAUGCUCGAAAGUGUGGGUAUCAAACAGGAUUAGAUACCCUAGUAGUC